rnacentral:rRNA from 1 species
UACGUAGGUGGCAAGCGUUGUCCGGAUUUACUGGGCGUAAAGAGCGCGCAGGCGGUCGUUCAAGUCGCGUGUGAAAGCCCCCGGCUCAACUGGGGAGGGUCACGCGAUACUGAUCGACUCGAAGGCAGGAGAGGGAAGUGGAAUUCCCGGCGUAGUGGUGAAAUGCGUAGAUAUCGGGAGGAACACCAGUGGCGAAGGCGACUUCCUGGCCUGUUCUUGACGCUGAGGCGCGAAAGCUAGGGGAGCAAACGGG